UUGCUGUGGCAUAGGCUGGCAGCUGCAGCUCUAAUUUGACCCCUAGCCUGGGAACCUCCAUAUUCCGUGGGUGCAGCCCUAAAAAGACCAAAAAAAAUUUUUUUUUAAAAAGAAUCAAGGAAAUGAUAGUUAACUAGGUAGCUCUUUAUGUAGCUUACAGUCCAGGAUUUGCAGCUUAGUUAAUGAACAAAAUUAUAGCCGCUGCCCAUUGAAAAAAUAUACCAAAUACUUGGGGAAAGAGGGAAGGGGUUUUAACACACUGAUAUUCCGGACAAUUGAGAACGACCAUAUGUGCCAUAAACGGAUUCUCAACUUACAAAUAAGUAGACCUACCUAUAAAUAGUCUACUCAUACAUGAAUAAUCCAAAAUAAUAGUUCAUUCAGAAAAAAAAAGUUUAUCAUUGAGGACUAGCUAUCACUGGGUUACAAAAAUGACGGAUAAAAUCCCCACCCUUAACAAGCUCACAAUCUAAGGAAGAAGAAAAAAAUGAACAAAGCACUUCAACACAGAUGACAAAGGUUUUAACGAAGGUUGGAAAAAAAUCUUUAAGAAUGGGAGUGGGGAAAGUCAUAAGCAUUGGAAGAAGGGCAGCACUUAAGACUUUGGGCUGAGUCUUGAAGAAUGAUGAGUAAGGCGAUGCCAGGCAGGCAGGGGGCUGAGGCAUUCAUUUCAGAUGGAGGGAACAGCAUGUACAUUCCCAACUGAAAAUAGCGCCUUCGGGGUGAGCAGAGAGUGCAUCUGGGCAGCAGCCAAAGCUAAGCCGAGAAAGGGAAACAGAAACCACGUCGUGAAGGGCUGUGUGUGCCCUGACGACGUCGCUGUACUUUAUCUUGCAGGCGACGGCGAGUCUCUGCUGUGCUCUGAGCAGGACUGGACGAAAUGAUUAGAUGCGCCUGCUGAAAUGUUACUCAGGCUGAAGGAGGAGGCACCGCCGCGCAUCUCUGAAGGUGUGGCUGAAGCUGUAAAGCCUGGAGGAAGGAGAAUGGUCCAGGCCACCGCAUAUUGAGUUCCCAGACCAGAGAUCAGAUCCAAGUUGCAGUCAUGACCUAAGCUGCACCUGCGGCAACACCAGGUCCUUAACCCACCGUGCCGGGCCAGAGAUGGAACCUGCCUCCCAGCGCUCCCAAGACACGGCCGACCCCACUGCACCACGCAGGAACUCCUACAAGUCCAUACUUUUAAUUUGUGGCUUCAUCACGCACAUGGAUUAGCUGGAUCAACUUUUGUUUGUUUGUUUAACAUCAGGUUCUUGUUUGGCUGGUUAUGUUACUGGUUCAGUUCUCAGAGUAUUUUACUCACAUUUCACCUAACACCUAAUCCAGCCUCUUUCCCAGAGUUUUCACCGACAUCGUCUGUGAACGACACAUCCCAGGUUCACGGCAUCGCCAGUCCUUAGACGCCAAAGCAACAAAGAAGGGGACAUUCCACUGAAGAGCUCAGUGGGCUCACUUCCCUGCUGAAAACCUGACUUGACGCUCAUGAGCCCUGAGACUAGUGUGAAUCCCGAUUCUGCCAGGCACUAGCCGGGUGUGCACAGAGACACACAUCGACGUGCACACACUGAUGUGCACACUUUGAUCAGGGUUAACGCUUUCUGCCCAGUGGGGUUAACACUACUUUAAAUGGUGAUUUUUGACCCAGGAAAUGUACUAAAAAUCACUGAAUGAUACACUCGAUACUGGUCAGUUUCCUAAUAUGUUGUAAACCAUUCCUCCGUAACGCUGCUACACAGUGAAUUUUUUAAAAAUGUUCAGGGAGGAAGCCGUCACUGAGUAAACCAGGACGGACACAUGCUGAGAGCAGACCAGGCAACAGUCAGAUGAACAGAGCAAGCUAGAGACUCAGGGAGAGGCCUUCGAGAAUGUUCCCAGGGGUCGUGACCUACAUAAACACCCUCUUUCUAGAUGCCGCCAACAGGGCAGUUCCUCUCUUCUGCCCUCGGACCUCAUCGUGCUCUUUUCUAGACGGUACUCUGGAUGGGCUUUUACACACGCCGUCAUCCCGCGGCACGGCAACUACUUCUUUAAAAGUCUGUGCUUCCCUGAACUGUGAGUUCUUGCAGUUGGCAGCCAUGGUCUCUCAUUCAGUCCUAGGAGGUUAGAUGAACGAAAAAGUAAGGGAUGACUGCUUACUUCAAAAGUCAAAAAAAAGAGAGAGAGAGAGGUGGUGUGAAGAGUCACUGAAAUAUACGCAUGUAUGCAAAGCACUUAGCACCAUGUUCUGCAUGUAGCGAGCAUGGCGGUUCUUUUUAUCAACAAAUUACGCCAAGAAUUAGGCUACAGAAAGAAGUCUAUUUUGAAGCUAGACUAGCCUGCAAAAUAAAAAUGUCCAAAUGCAUUGAAGACCUAGUUUUAGAGGACCCGCUGCCUAUGUCCAAGGCUUGAGGGCCCAGAUAUUGGCCAAAUUUCCAAAAAAAAAAAAAAAUCUCGCAGAUCCAUCUACAGUUUGUGACCAGAAUUCUCCAAGGUCACAAUGAGUGGCACUGGCACUCUCACUAAACCUUGUGCUUGGAGGCUGCAGCCAUACUGAGCAGGAGUUGCUGGGCUGACUACGGAGUCAUUCUCCAAGACUCUGGUCUGAAUGAGAAGUGACACCAGAGGGCAAGGGAGGGUGGAAGCAAGAGGCCGUGUUCCUGCCCCCUCUUCCUCCCCCCAAAGGAAAACUGCCGUCUAGCGUGUCAGGAACUGCUGCACUGUUGAUCUGGCUGGUUCCAGCUGAGACUACUUCAGUCAUUCAAUAGAUACGUAUUGAGCCCCUACCAUGGGUCUGCCAUUGUUCUAGGCACAAGAUGCAUCAAUGAAUAAAACAUUUAAAUACUUUGUCUAGAUACUCAUGUUGCAACAGAAGAAAGGCUGGGGGAAAAAUGUAAUUGUAAUGUAUACCUGUAAGGAUAACCUGACCCCCUUGCUGUACAGUGGGAAAAUUAAAAAAAAAAAAAAUGAUUAAGACAGUAAAAAAAAAAAAUUUAAAUAUUCUCAAGAAUGAGGUAAGGUGACUCUCCCUUCGGAUACAAGGACUUAUAAGUAGUCACAAAGAUCUGAAUCAAAAGCCUAGAGACUCAUCCAUACAUGGAAACUUAACGCAAAGGAAGCAUUGGUGGUAAAAGCACCACCACCAUCUCUGUGGGGAAAAAACUGAAUGCCGACCUCACGUCAUUCAUGAAAUUUAAUUCCAAGCGGACUAACGGUCUAAACCGUAAAGGCAAAACUUAAACUCUGACUAGGAAACAUAAACCUUUAGCCUGCAGACAUAGAAGGAGCCCUUAGGAAACAAAAAAGCACACACCACAGAGGAAUGAAUUGCUAAUCUCAACUACACUAAAAUUCAUCAAAAUAUUCCAUUAAAAAGACGACAAAAUGGAAAAAUAUGUCUGCAACUCAGUAAGAAAAAGGCAAUGUGAAAGAGAAAUAAGCAAAAGAUAUGAAUUGAUACUUCACAGAAGUGGAAACAGCCCAUGAAUACAGAAAACUUGUAAUCGGGGAACCACAAAUUAAAACCACAAUGAGACAAUAUUUCACUCCUGUCUGAUUUCCAAAAAAAAAAAAAAAAAAAA